AUGGAAACACUGAGGCCCAGUGAGGAGCAGCCACAUGCCCGGGCCCUCGGGCCUGGGGCGGGGGGGCCUCGAACCCAGGUCUCCCAGGGGCCUGUCCAGCUGCACACCGCUUUUUUCUUGUUUUGCCACUGCUCCUCCCUCUCCCUCUCCAUCCCCAGACCCAGGAUGGAAAAACACCUGGCUGAGCUCCACCUGAGCUUCCAGCUGCCUGCAGCCCCCUCCUUGGAGGCCCCUAGCCUGUUGGGGGGGGCGGUGAGGAGAGGAGGAGAGGGAGCUCAGUGGAGAGGAGAGGCUGAUGCAUUUCCCCCUCAGUGUUGCAGGAGACUGCUCCCCCUAGCCCGAGCCUGGACUCCUGCCAGCCUCCCUAAUCACCUCCUUUCCUUUCCCCAUCCAGGGCCUCUCUCUGGGGAUCCCCUCCCCCCACCUCCGUGCCCUGGGCAGAGCAGCACAGCUGUUUCCAGGAUGGUGGUUUGGGCCUGGGCGGGCCGUACCCACAGCCCCGACUCCUGCCCAGCGCCCGCCUCACUUGGGCUUCCACUGGGAAUUACCUUCCCGCGGCUCCCCAGUUCAAAGGUCUUGGGGGGCUGCCCACAGAGCUCCUCCCCGCCCUGCCCGGCCCCCUCCCCCUGUGCCGGAGCACAUCCCCUCCUACCGGGCGGGCCUGCGCACUGUCCAUCGGAACCUUCCUCGGGCCACAGGGGCAGUGAGGUCUGGGCCAGGUGCCUGGCGCUGCCCCCGUUAGUGGCCUGCUGGGGUUUCCGUCACUUAGGGCUGGUUACCAGGCAACCGCGUCGGGAGGGCUGGCUCUGGCUGGGGCUGGCACAGGCGGCUGCUGCAGGGGAGGCUGCGGCCAGGCCGGCUGAGGCCAGGGUCACCGUCGUCGGCAGGGGGUGGGGCCUCGCUCUGCAGCUCAGAACUCCUUGUCAUCCCCGUGGCUUCGGCUCGGGCCCAGCCCCGGGAAAGGGGCCUCCUGGCCGUCCAGGGCCCUGCACACCAGGCUCAGAGCCCUCAGGUUUCCGGGAGGUUGGGGGAAGCCGAGUGGGAGCCGAGAGGCGGGCCUCCCUCUUCAGGGACCGGGGUGUGGCCUUAACCUUACUGACCACCCCCCUGUGGCCCGAUGUGGGGGACACAGGAGUCAGAUCUCCCGGCCUCCGGGUGGCUGUGUGGCCUUGGAUGUGUUGUUGCUUGUCUGCGCCUCAGUUCCCUCCUCUAGAGAACGGGACGACGCUAGCCCCGUCUCAUGAGGCAGCGCGCAGUGUAGAAGAUGCUCAGAGCAGCGCCCGGCCUCUCCGUACCUGCUGGGUCCCCUCCCCCGAGCCCCUGGUUUCCCACGUUGCAAGGGGGCAGAUGUUACAGAUGCUGACACGCUGGCCGCCCAGCAUUGCCGGAGGCCCCAGGCGGGGUCCUCCUCCAGCACAGCGACCCUCUGAGCCGCGUCCCGGAGUCUCUGGGCCUGCCUGCGACCUGACGGCGCAGCACAGCCCAGUGGAGGCUGCGGUCCGCCCCAGCCCUGCCUGUGACCAAGUCCCUGUUUGUCCCCGGCAGUGGCAGCAUGAAGCCCUUGAGGGCAAAAGGUCUGUAAAGCCAUUUGGGGGAACCGGGGCGGGGGGGGGCUGUGCCCGCUGCUCUGCUCGGCUCUGA
rnacentral:lncRNA from 1 species